rnacentral:rRNA from 1 species
GAUGAACGCUGGCGGCGUGCCUAAUACAUGCAAGUCGAGCGAACAGAUGAGGAGCUUGCUCCUCUGACGUUAGCGGCGGACGGGUGAGUAACACGUGGAUAACCUACCUAUAAGACUGGGAUAACUUCGGGAAACCGGAGCUAAUACCGGAUAAUAUAUUGAACCGCAUGGUUCAAUAGUGAAAGACGGUUUUGCUGUCACUUAUAGAUGGAUCCGCGCCGCAUUAGCUAGUUGGUAAGGUAACGGCUUACCAAGGCAACGAUGCGUAGCCGACCUGAGAGGGUGAUCGGCCACACUGGAACUGAGACACGGUCCAGACUCCCACGGGAGGCAGCAGUAGGGAAUCUUCCGCAAAGGGCGAAAGCCUGACGGAGCAACGCCGCGUGAGUGAUGAAGGUCUUCGGAUCGUAAAACUCUGUUAUUAGGGAAGAACAAAUGUGUAAGUAACUAUGCACGUCUUGACGGUACCUAAUCAGAAAGCCACGGCUAACUACGUG